UCUACCUUUUAGGUUCAUAUUAUUUCAAGUGUGUAAAUCUCAAGAUUGAUAACUGCCUUUAGCUCCGGUAUUUGCGAUCCAUUGCACAGUUGCUGAUAAAACACCCAGAAAAUUAGGUGAAUGCAGAAGAGAGGUAUAAAAGGAAAAGAAGGGGAAGGAAUCUUUACCAGCACUGGAGGUAGGAGGUCUGGACUGUAUGCUGAGAAGAGAUGCAGAUGACAGCUUCCUACUUUUAAAAAUUCCCACAUGAGACUUCCUAGAUCCCUGGGAGGUGUCCAUAGGUGGGCAGCAGGGUAUGAAAUCAAGGCUUAGGUGCAAAGCCAUUGGAUACCAUACCUGAGACCACACAGCCACAGGGAAAUGGCCUCACCAGAAGCUGGGAAGGUGCUUUGGAGCAGUGGUCCUUUCAGAAGAAGGUUUGGGUGUUUUAGAUGGGAACUAGGUCUCAGAGCAGAU
rnacentral:lncRNA from 1 species